GUUGUCAGAAGCCCAGCAGGGAAAGCCACUUGCGGCUGCGAUGCGCACAGGAGCCGGGGGGGGGGGGGGUUUACAACCCAAGGGGGGCUGCGGAGCUAGUUCUCCCUGGCUCGGAAGCCAGGAGCGCAGCGCAGAGAAGGGGGCAGCAGCAGCAGCAGCGGCAGCUGUUGCCUCAGUGAUGACUGCAGCAGCAUGGCUGUGAUAGACAGUGCCAGCCCGUACUCACUCUCCGCCCUCCCACCCGCUCACACUGCAGCCUUCAGGCUCCGGGAGCCAUCUUGCUUCACCACAUGACCGGCUUCUCCUUCUCCCUGGCCAGUCUGCGGAUGACUGCUGUCAAACUGCCAGUAUGAAAAUGGGACAACUGAGGCACCAGCAGGGGCAGGGAGCAGCAGAGGAUGGUUACGGUGGUAGGCAUGUGUGCACGGUGUGUGAGCAGCUGCGGGUGAAGAGGAAGACUCAGGCUAGGGGCCUGGGAAGGGCAGGGUGGCAACAAGUCCCAGGUCUGGUUCAGAACGGUUCUUAAGAAUAUGGAGUCAAGUUCAAGAUCUGGAUGUCCUGAUCUUCAAAGCACUCCAUGACCUGGGCCCCACAUACCUAGAAAUAUCUCCUAAAACUCCAGGAUGAGGACUGUAGUCGACAGCUGUGCUCCUCAGGCACACUGGAAUAUACAUUGUAAGAGGCCAUUAAUGAAAGCUCAAUUGAACGAUCAAAUUUAUGAGCUCUUCCAUUCCAUUCCAUUCUGUUUCUCUUUGGAUUGUGAGCUCUCUCAUGGGAAAGACCAUCUUCAUUUUAUGUCACGUACAGUGCUAAGCACAUUGUCAGUGCUUAAUAAUGCACUGCUGGGGGGAAGCUCCUUAUUUUUCAAUGAAAGACAAUUCUAAGCCCUUUCCUGGCUACUGAAUAUACCCAGAAUGUUUGGCAAACAUUCACUGCUCCAGAGAUUAUGUUAUAUGUAGUAUUUUCUGGUGUUACCUUGAUGUCAGUUAAACAUUCAGUGUAAAGAGCAGCAUUUCUAUCCAGCAGCA